CCCCCUCUCCCUCCGUCCGAAAUUACUUGUCGCAGAAAUGAACGUAUCUAUUUGCAUUUUAGUUCUAGAUAAAUUCAUUUUUAUCCAUUUCUAUGACAAGUAACAUUCAGGACGGAGGGAGUAUAUG
rnacentral:pre_miRNA from 1 species